rfam:Fonticula alba strain ATCC 38817 mitochondrial scaffold supercont2.211, whole genome shotgun sequence.
AAGACUAUAGUUUAAUGGUAAAAUAGAGGCCUCCAAAGCCUUCGUUCUGGGUUCGAAUCCGAGUAGUCUUG